UGCGAAGGGGGCUAGCGUUGCUCGGAAUCACUGGGCGUAAAGGGUGCGUAGGCGGGUCUUUAAGUCAGGGGUGAAAUCCUGGAGCUCAACUCCAGAACUGCCUUUGAUACUGAAGAUCUUGAGUUCGGGAGAGGUGAGUGGAACUGCGAGUGUAGAGGUGAAAUUCGUAGAUAUCGGGAGGAACACCAGUGGCGAAGGCGGCGAUCUGGGAAGAUACUGACGCUGAGGUGCGAAAGCGUGGGGAGCAAACAGG
rnacentral:rRNA from 1 species